AAAUCUGAGGCGUACUAUGAAAAGAUGAGGAAAUUAGGAGGAAAAAAAGACUUCAUAGUUAACAUCCUCAAAGCAGCACAGGCAAGCAUAGGGUGGUUACCAGUGUGGAUUCAGAACCUGAUAUAAAACAGCAAGACCCUGGAUAAUAGGCAGCACAAGACUAUAAUCCAUGAAAGGACAAAAACAAAGGAGCAAGGAACUGAAAACAGCCCAGGUGUCCCUUAAUAGAUGAAGUCACAAACCACUGAAACAUGCAACAAUAUGGAUGAAUCUCAAAAACAUUAUGCUGAGUAAAAAGAAAGCUUUUUACUACAUGUGGCGGAGUCUAUGGCCCUUCUGCUUGAAUCUUGAGUGAAAUCUGUGACUCUUUCAAUCCAAAGACUACAGUAAUACCACAACUAUCUACAGAGGACUGGUUCCAGGACUCCCAUGGAUACCAAAAUCCAAGGAUGCUUCGAGUCCCUUACAUAAAAUGGCACAGUAUUCGCCUAUAACCUACAUGCAUCUUCAAAUAUGUUAAACCAUCUCUAGCCUACUUAAUAGUACCAAAUACAAUGUAAAUGCUACAUAAACAGUUGUUAUAAUGUAUUGCCAAAGACAAGCUCUCCUUGCCAAUCCCUGACCAAACGAGAUUCAUGAGCAAAAUAAAUCAUUGCUAAUAUUUAA